CAUGAAAUGAAAAUAAACUUUCUUCUUUGCAUUUUACUUCUGGAAUAAUGUCUAAAACAUAUAUAGGCCUCUCCAUAUUAAAACAUGUUAAAAUAGUGUCAGCACAGCCCCUGAUCCAUAGUAGGUAUUCAAAAAAUACAUAUUUCAUGAAUAAAUGUGAGAUUAAGCAUAAAAACUAUUGCAUUACUUGAGUAUGGAAGUAAUGUUCUGAAGCUACAAUGUAUCACUCAAUGAACAAUCACUGUUAACUGGUACUCAGAAUAAAGGUCAAAAGGUCUCCUCUUUGAUAAAUACAGUACUGGUCCAUUUCCUGGCAUCCUAUUAAUGAAAAGAGACUUGACCUGAUUCCUGCCCUCGCCUAUCUCACCAUCUCUGACUUUAGCUGUGUAAGGAAGGAUAAAGCCAAGAGGCAACAGAAAAGAAUGUUCUUGUUUCUUUCCUAUCCUGUUUUCUUCUUUUCCCUGUCUUUCCUUCUCUCCCCUCUCACUUUUUCUUUUGUCUAUCCAUCUAUCAAUGAAAACAGGUGACCACCCAAUGAAAAAUAUAUGCCUCAAAAUGGUAUCUUUUUUUAGGAGAAAAAUGAGGUGACUUAAUAUUUACAUUUGGGGGAAAGGAUGGUAAUUGCCAUUACCAAUAUGCCUAACUUGAAUACAGAGAUUUAACUACUAUUUUUCCAAAAAGUUGACUGCUCUGGUACUGAAAACUUCAAUUUUAGUGGAUUACAACUAAACAUAAAACACUUAUUUACCUCCAAAAAAAAAAAAAAAAAAAAAAAAAACAUAAAACACUUUAAUUUAAACAGCUUAAGCUACUUUUUCCAGGACACAACCUGAGUUUGCAGAUUUUAAUUUAUAAAGAUAUAUCUCUCCAUAUUUCAAGUUAAAAAUCAAGAAAACACUCUUACUGAAAUUUCAAUACCUUAAAAAUAGAAUUUGUGCACUGAUAUUUUUAAGCUCUGAGUUUUGUAUAUUAUUGCCAUCUUGAACACUAAUCACACUAAUCUUCAACACUCAUUCACAUAUUAAAAGACAGCACUAGCAAACCUGACAAUGUUAUACAACCUUAAAUGUUACGAAGGGUCAGAGAUUUGGUUAAAAUUUUCUACAGCCACUAUUCUUAUCCUUCCUUCCUAAGAGGAGAAUGAACUGAAGCUAGGCACUUAUCCAGUAAGUAGCUGCCUGUAUAUGAUGUGUUGGCACUAAUGAUUAGGAUGUUUGAACCAUGCAGUUAUGUGUUUUGAUUCAGUAAUGUCAGACCCAAGUAGCCAUAUGUUUUAAAAAAUUUUAAGCCUAAGUAAUAGUAAUAUUUUCAUGUCAAGUUUUGACAGUUUAAUAAUUUGUAUUUGGGGGGGUAAACUAUCAUAUUUUUGCUAUUAUUUAAUUACUUAAAAUCUGAAAUGCCAACUUUUACACCCCAUUAAAAUAUAAGCUAGACCCACUUGAACUUAUUGAUGCUUGUAAAUGACAAGGAAAAGUGAUCUCAAACCUCAAAACCAUGAUUAAUAUUUACUGACCCUACAGAACUAGAAAAUGCAUAUUUCCCUGUCAAGUAUAAUAAGAACAUAAUUCUCUGUCCUUUACAAAUAUAAUUUGGUAAUUUAUAUUUCAAAGGUAUCCAAUGGUCUAUUUACCAAUUCUGCAUGUUACAAUUAUCAAUAAUUAUAUUAUGACUUUGGCUAAUUACAUGCAAAUUAUCUUCAACUUCAUCAUGAAUAGGCUGCAAACAAUAUGUUGAUAUGUUUCAAUAUUUUUUCUAGUUCUCAAAACCUGAAAGCAAUAAGCUAAUCAAUAAAUUACUUGUAGACCCCUAUGAUUGAAGCUACAGUGGUAUCAUUUUAUAUGGCUGAAUCACACAAAAUAUGAUGAGGUCACUGUGCCUACUGUAUAUGUUAUACCAGUGUUUCCCACACAGUGGUAUACAUACACCACUGGACAGCCCUGAGAUGAUUUUAAGUGGAGUGGUACAUGGGUGAACAAUUUUUCUUCAAUAGUUACAUAUUUAUGUUAAUGUUUAUUAAAAAUAAUGUGACUAGCACAUAAAAUGUGGAUACUCAAAACAAGGCUAUGUUUAAAAAUGUAAGGCUAAAAAAGAAGAUUAAAAGUAAGUAAACAAUGGCAUAGGAGAUAAUAUACACACAUAUAUAGGACAUGAGAAUGGUGGUAUGUGACUCACAUUUAGUAAACACUGUUUUAAAGAACAAUUUGAUUAGCCAGCAUCAUUUCUGGAUGUUUGGAGUAAUAAGCCACAUUAUAAGGAGGUUUCCUUUACUGCUCAAAAUCUGGGCU
rnacentral:lncRNA from 1 species